ACCCUGCUGGGCACUGGACUCACAAUCCAGAGAUUGCUGGUUUGAAUCCCGCGUCGGGUG
rnacentral:tRNA from 1 species